rnacentral:rRNA from 1 species
AAAUUGAAGAGUUUGAUCAUGGCUCAGAUUGAACGCUGGCGGCAGGCCUAACACAUGCAAGUCGAACGGUAACAGGAAGAAGCUUGCUUCUUUGCUGACGAGUGGCGGACGGGUGAGUAAUGUCUGGGAAACUGCCUGAUGGAGGGGGAUAACUACUGGAAACGGUAGCUAAUACCGCAUAACGUCGCAAGACCAAAGAGGGGGACCUUCGGG